rnacentral:rRNA from 1 species
AGAGUGAACGCUGGCGGUAGGCCUAACACAUGCAAGUCGAACGGCAGCACAUUGGUAGCAAUACCAUGGGUGGCGAGUGGCGGACGGGUGAGGAAUACAUCGGAAUCUACCUUUUCGUGGGGGAUAACGUAGGGAAACUUACGCUAAUACCGCAUACGCCCUUCGGGGGAAAGCCGGGGAUCGCAAGACCUGGCGCGGAUAGAUGAGCCGAUGUCGGAUUAGCUAGUUGGUGAGGUAACGGCCCACCAAGGCGACGAUCCGUAGCUGGUCUGAGAGGAUGAUCAGCCACACUGGAACUGAGACACGGUCCAGACUCCUACGGGAGCAGCAGUAGGGAAUAUGGACAAUGGGCGCAAGCCUGAUCCAGCCAUGCCGCGUGAGUGAAGAAGGCCUUCGGGUUAUAAAGCUUCUUUUGGUACCGGAAAAGAAAAGUC